CCUACGGGAGGCAGCAGUAGGGAAUCUUCCGCAAUGGACGAAAGUCUGACGGAGCAACGCCGCGUGAACGAUGAAGGCCUUCGGGUCGUAAAGUUCUGUUGUUAGGGAAGAACAAGUGCUAGUUGAAUAAGCUGGCACCUUGACGGUACCUAACCAGAAAGCCACGGCUAACUACGUGCCAGCAGCCGCGGUAAUACGUAGGUGGCAAGCGUUGUCCGGAAUUAUUGGGCGUAAAGCGCGCGCAGGCGGUUUCUUAAGUCUGAUGUGAAAGCCCCCGGCUCAACCGGGGAGGGUCAUUGGAAACUGGGAAACUUGAGUGCAGAAGAGGAAAGUGGAAUUCCAAGUGUAGCGGUGAAAUGCGUAGAGAUUUGGAGGAACACCAGUGGCGAAGGCGACUUUCUGGUCUGUAACUGACGCUGAGGCGCGAAAGCGUGGGGAGCAAACAGGAUUAGAUACCCUGGUAGUCCACGCUGUAAACGAUGAGUGCUAAGUGUUAGAGGGUUUCCGCCCUUUAGUGCUGAAGUUAACGCAUUAAGCACUCCGCCGUCGGGAGGUACGGUCGGCGAGGACGUAGAAACGUUAAAAGGUAAAGUUAGUACGGCGUGAGACGUGCCGAACGGACGACGACGAGGGGAGGUAGG
rnacentral:rRNA from 1 species